ACAGCCAAUCCCUCACUACGGCCAUAGGCCUCUUUUCCAUCAGUGUACUUCCACACGUCGCCAGCACCGGCGUCAAGCAAGACACUGACGAAAGUAACGUCCAAAACUCUUUUGCAAAUUUCCAAAGAAUCAACACCCUCCUUUUCCCAUUUACUGACGAGUUGGCUCAAUCGAGGGACAUUGCCAACCUCAAAAUGCUGCCACCGUCCAUGAGGAGGAAUGGUGGAAUACUUGCCCUUAAAAUCAGCUUGGAUUACAGAAACGACAAAAUCGGCAACUUCAGGAAGUUUAGAGGGGUCGUACAAAAAAGACUUUAAGGACUGACUUUCGGCCUUUUGUAACACUUUUUGGGCCUUGUAACGAAUAUCUUGCAAAGACAAAAGCUUGGCAACGGUCUCUGUACUCAUGUUGGAUUGAAAUGAUGCAAUUAAGUGAAUAAGAUUAGACAAUACGAUUCUCGUUCAACAGAAACGAAGUAAACAAAAUUCACAC